AAAAUGCGAUAAGUAAUGUGAAAUGCAGAAUUCAGUGAAUCAUCGAAUCUUUGAACGCACAUUGCGCCCGCCAGUAUUCUGGCGGGCAUGUCUGUCUGAGCGUCAUUUCAACCCUCGGGACCCCGUUCGCGGGACCCGGCGUUGGGGAUCAGCCCGAAGCCCCCCCGGGGCGGGCGGCUGGCCCCGAAAUCUAGUGGCGGUCCCCCCAGCGACCUCCUCUGCGCAGUAGUAACUCACCUCGCAGCUGGACAGCGGGAGGGCCACGCCGUAAAACCCCCAACUUCUCAAAGGUUGACCUCAGAUCAGGUAGGAAUACCCGCUGAACUUAAGC
rnacentral:misc_RNA from 1 species